rnacentral:rRNA from 1 species
GACGAACGCUGGCGGCGUGCUUAACACAUGCAAGUCGAACGGGCCCGCUCUCUUUUUUGGGGGUGGGUUGAGUGGCGAACGGGUGAGUAUCACGUGAGUAACCUGCCCCCUGCUCCUGGAUAACUGCUUGAAAGGGCGGCUAAUACGGGGUGUGCCGGCUGGUCCGCAUGGGCCUGGUCGGGAUAGUUUCAUCUUCGGGUGUUUCGGUGGGGGAUGGGCUCGCGGCCUAUCAGCUUGUUGGUGGGGUGAUGGCCCACCAAGGCGGUGACGGGUAGCCGGCCUGAGAGGGUGGGCGGCCACACUGGGACUGAGACACGGCCCAGACUCCGGCGGGAGGCAGCAGUGGGGGGUAUUGCACAAUGGGCGGAAGCCUGAUGCAGCGACGGCGCGUGAGGGAUGGAGGCCUUCGGGUUGUGAACCUCUUUCUCCGGUGGUGAAGGCCCUGUCCGUUGCGGCGGGGUUGACGGUAGCCGGGUAUGAAGCGCCGGCUAACUACGUG